AAUGGGAUAACUGGGUCAAAUGGUGAUUCCAUUCCAACUUUUCUGAGGAAUCUGCAUAUUGCUUUCCAGAGUAGUUGCACCAACUUGCAGUCCCAUCAGCAAU
rnacentral:pre_miRNA from 1 species